rnacentral:rRNA from 1 species
AUUGAACGCUGGCGGAAUGCUUUACACAUGCAAGUCGAACGGCAGCACGGACUUCGGUCUGGUGGCGAGUGGCGAACGGGUGAGUAACAUAUCGGAACGUAUCCAAUAAUGGGGGAUAACGAGUCGAAAGAUUCGCUAAUACCGCAUACGCCCUACGGGGGAAAGCUGGGGACCUUCGGGCCUGGCGUUAAUGGAGCGGCCGAUAUCUGAUUAGCUGGUUGGUGAGGUAAAGGCUCACCAAGGCGACGAUCAGUAGCUGGUCUGAGAGGACGACCAGCCAAACUGGAACUGAGACACGGUCCAGACUCCUACGGGAGGCAGCAGUGGGGAAUUUUGGACAAUGGGCGCAAGCCUGAUCCAGCCAUUCCGCGUGAGUGAAGAAGGCCUUCGGGUUGUAAAGCUCUUUCGCAAGGGAAGAAAACUUAGCCACUAACAUUGGUUGAGGUUGACGGUACCUUGAUAAGAAGCACCGGCUAACUACGUGCCAGCAGCCGCAGUAA